AGUGCAGAAUGGGGGAUUGGAGAUCACAAGUGUUCAGCUUAGGCUUGCACCCUUGCCCUUUACACACUGAAAUUCCUCCAGAUUCCUUUAAUUGAGUGAU